rnacentral:lncRNA from 1 species
UUUGUUUUUAUUUGAUUUCUAAGUUUCUUUUUUGGUUUAAGCUUGCUUGUGCUUCCUUUACAUUGCUGGAGUAUUGUUUGCUUGUGUCUAUACUCUAGGUGAUAUUUUUCAAGUAGCACAAAACCUAGUUCAUGUGUUACUUUCCAAAUUGUCAGUGUCUUCUUUCUAGUUUUUGCGCGCUUCCUUCUUUCUUUAGGAUUUCUUCUUUGUUUCAUUAAACGCACCUUGUGGUUAGUUGGUUGACCUUAGUUUCUGAAGUGCAAUUGAAGAAUUAGCAAAAGAAUGGUAAGAGUGCAAACACUUGAGUACUUUCUUUUUUAACACAAUAUUUGCUAGUCCUUUUUAUUCUUUGUUGAUUUAAGGUAGGAUGAGUAAAGAUAAGAAUGUGGUGGAUCGUACUGAUGGAAGUGAAUCGAAUAUGGGUAACGAUUAUAAGCUCUUUAAGAAGUCAGUCAGUGGUGAGUUACAAAGGCUCAAUAAGACUCUUGAGAGGUUAACUAAAACUAUGGAGAGUUUGAAUGUCUCACAAGCUUUCACUUCUACAAGAAUACCUCAAAGAACUCUUAAUUGCAAUAAUGACUGUGAUGAUUCGGAUGUGUUGGUUAAUAAUGUGUUGCUUGCUGUACAUUGUGAGAUGCUUGUUGCUAGGUGUGCUCUGAAUAUGCAGGUUAAGAAAGAAAGCCUAAAACAACGGAAAAACAUAUUUCACACUAGGUGUUUGGUUAAUGGAAAAGUGUGUACUCUCAUUAUUGAUGGAGGUAGUUGCACAAAUGUGGCUAGUGUGUAUAUGGUGGAGAAAUUGGGCUUGGCUUCUAUUGAACACUCUAAGCCAUACAGAUUGCAAUGGUUGAAUGAUUGUGGUGAGGUUAGGGUUACACGCCAGGUGGUUAUACCAUUUUCUAUUGGUAGGUACAAGGAUGAGAUAUUGUGUGAUGUGGUACCUAUGCAGGCAAGCCAUAUGUUGUUGGGUAGGCCGUGGCAACAUGAUAGAAAGGUGCAACAUGAUGGUUUCAAUAACAAGUACUCCUUCACUCAUGAAGGACAUAAGGUUAUACUCGCUCCUUUAUCACCUCAAGAGGUAUAUGUUGAUCAAAUAAAGAUGCUGGAGAGGGAGAGGGAGGCUUCGGCCUUGGCCACAAAGGGGAGUGAGAGCUUGAAUUCUGCGGAAAAGAUGAGAGAAAAGAGUGAGUUUGAGGGUAAAGAGGCUGGAAAAGAAUCAAGGCUAGUUCAAGGAGGGAAGGUGGAGAAAGAAAAGGAGAAAGAAGAGGCUAAAGUUCCAAUCUCAACUUCCAUAGAGAUUGAAAUUGAAGAUGAAGUUGUAAUGCAUGAAUCUAAUGUUGUUGUUGUUGAGAAUUCCAUCAAUGAACUUAUAGAAGAGGUUGUGAAUGAUGAGGGACAUGGGGAGCACGUGAUUGAUGAGGUGGAGGAGGCAAAUGAGACUGUUUUGGAAGUUGUAGAGGAGAAUGGGUCACAUCCACAAGAUCUUUCUAUGACUAAUAUUUUUAUGCCUAGUUCAUUUGUUCUUGAUGUGCAGGUUGUUGAUGAAAACAUUCAUGAUGAAAGUUUUAUCCUAUUUCCACCUAUUCAAAAGGAGGUCUUUGAAGAUACAUGGGUUCCUAAAGCUUCCCUUGUUGACAUAAAUAUCAGUAAGAUUCGAGGACGAAUCUUUUCUAAAGAAGGAGAGAAUGAUACGGAUCCAAUAGGGUAAAUUUCUAACAAUGGUGUGGAGAAAACUUAUGUCAUUCAAAUGGAUCUAAAAGGAGUUCAAAAUCAUAUUCAUAUGAUCCAUAUAUAUUUGGGACGUGCUUCAACUCAUAUGGAACAGAUUUGGUGCAACACUUGCAAUCAUAGGCUUAGGGAGCCUAAUCAAACCUAUGGGCUAAAACUACACAAAGGGAAGCCUAAAGUGAAGAUCAAGUAAGGCUUUUGUGAAGAUUCAGCUUUGUUAUGAUGGGCUUGCUAUAUUUUUAUUAUUUAACACUUGUUUUAUUUUAGCUUUGUUUGGGCUUGUAUUCUGGCCAUACUUUAUCUUUUAAGUUUUAAAGUGUUGGGCCAUGUUUUGGGCUUAUGUUUUAAUACUUAUGUGUUAUUUUAGUGUGUGAUUAGGAUUGGGCCUUAUGUGUUUAAGUCAGGUCCAAGAAGAGUGUCUUAGGGUUUUAUUUGUUAUUCUCCUCACUAUAUAAGGAUAAGAAACAAUUGUAAGGGGCAGCUUUUAACCAAAAAUUCAGAAUUCUUCUCAUGCCUUUGGCAUGUAUUGCUUUGAGUGAGAGUGAGGAUUUGCUUUCAUCAAUUGCACCAGGAAUCUUGGCUUACUUAUCAACUAUUCGUUGUGGCGCUUGUCAGAUUCUCAUCUAAAUCCUUCGAUCAUUGGUGUUUCAGCUUCUCUAAGUGUGGGGUGCCAUAGGAGGUGGGUUUAUCAAAUCUUUGGAUUUUAUAUCUACUUGUGCGUGUGGGUUUGAGGCUUGUGCCAUAGGGUUCCGCGUCAAGAAUUCUAUGAGUGUCUUAUCUGAAAUAUCAUGUUGAGGAUAACCUGUACACAACCUUUUAAAUCUUUCCCAAUAGUCAUAUAAAUCCUCAGAUGGCUUUUGUCUUAUGCUACUGAUCUCUCUUCUUAUGCCAAUGGCUUUAGAAGCUGGGAAAUAUUUGUUUAAGAAUGUUAUUUCCAUGUCAUCCCAAGAAGUGAUAGAUCCAGGUGGUAAGUAAAACAGCCAAUCCUUAGCAUAAUCAUCAAGCGAAAAAGGAAAAGCUCUUAACUUAACAUGAUCUUCAGAAAUACCUUGAGGUCUCAUAGAUGAACAGACAAUAUUGAACUCCUUCAAGUGCUUGUGUGGAUUUUCAUUUUCUAAUCCUCUAAAUUUAGGGAGAAGAUGAAUCAAACCUGUUUUCAGUUCAAAGGGAACUGUCAGAGGUGGAUAGGUGAUGCACAGAGGUGCUUGAUCACCUACAGGUUUUGCCAAUUCUCUCAUGGUCCUUUCUCUUUGCACUGGGGGCCUAAUUGCUAGAUUUUCUUGAAUUAUUUGGGCUUGGACAGCAUGUCCAUUAUGGGCAGCAGGUUGUGCAUGAGGUUCGGCCAUUUGUGUGGCUUGUUGGUGAAGUUCGGGUGCUUCAGAAGAGUGGUCUGCGAUUGGGGCUUCUUCAGAAGUGGUCUCGGCUUGUGUUGUCUCCCACAACCAAGAUGCUUGCUUACCUAGUCUCCUGAUUGUGCGUUCAAUUUCUGGAUCGUAAGGCAGAGUAUCCUUGUGUCCAGAUCUGGUCAUAAAAGAAAAAAAACAUAUUAGUUAAAUCAAUUCCCCAGCAACGACGCAUAUUUUUGACUCGCGGUUGUCAAAGCCGGUCAAAAAUAACCUUUUCGGUUAUCAACAAUAUUACUACUGUAGAUAGUGGCAAAGGAUCGUAUCCACAGAGAAUUGAAAAAUUAUCUAUCUUUUUUCUUAACAAGACCAAGAGACUAAACCGAAUGAGAAACUGAAAGCAAGCAACUGAAAGCAGAAUAAAAAAAAAGUGCAAUAAAAGUAAAAUGGGAGGAUGUUUUGAGAUUGAUUUGAUUAAGCAACUACUGAAAGUAAUUAAAUAAGCGAAUAAUGAAAAUAAAAUGGAAAUCUAAUAUGAGAAAGGUCUAGUUGAAGAGUUGGAUCCACUUCAGUUGUUUGGAUUGAUCAUUGAAACUUAUGUUCUUUUGAUUGAUUCAAUAGAUUAGUUAUGGAGAUGGAAGACGCUUCUCAUCACCAUGUCUCUCCUUAUGAUUAAACCAAUUAGGGAACGUACUCUAAUUAAUUACUAAUUAACAAAUUGCCAAGGAACAUCCUUAGGCCUUAGGCAUCAAAACAAUUGUUAAUUGCAUGAAGAGAUAGAGAGAUCCAAUCCUAGCUACUCAAACGCAUGAGAUGUUGCUAGAUCAUACAAUUUCCUUAGUUUUUACACCAAGUGUUCUUAUGUUUGAACAAUCCAAGCAAUUACGGACUUAAAAUUAUCCAAACUAACAAUUUACUACCUUGCAAUCAAGAAUCAAGUGGCCAAUUUGAUCAAAACAACAAAGCAGUAAUAGAUUUAAGCAUGAAAUUGUAUGAAUAUUGAACAAACUAAAGACAAACAAUCUAUGUUCAGAUCUCACAAUCCAUUAAACAACUUUAGUUUCAACCAAUCUUCAACUAGAUUAAAAGGUUUCAGCCACUCAUGGCUGAACCAAAACCAAAAAUAAAAGAAAAGUAGAAAGGUAGAAGAAAAAGAAGAGGUAGAGGCAUCGGCCUUGUGCAAUCCGAGAAGGAGAGGCACGAAGAUGAUGUCCAGAACUUAUUCUCGGCUGGUUAUGUGCUUCUUAAAUAGGAUUAGAGGUACUUGCUGCUUAAGUUGUGUCUGAAAAGGAAAGAAUCGCGUUGCAAGCUCUUCAGAAGGAAGGUGGCGCACGACAUGCUCUUCAGAAGGAAGGUGUGCGCCCGAAUGGAUGUGCAGAAGGGAAAGAUAAUUUGUCCAGUCUUUCCUUUUUAGGUGGAGCCUUCGUUUGAAUUUUGAAUGCUGAAUGCAGAAGAGGCAAGUGCGUCUUCUUGAAAUCUUGCUGCCUAAAUAGGAAGAUCUGACUGUUGCAGUGUGUGCACAUCUUUAAACAAGGAAAGAAAGAUCUGCGAUUUGAAUUUCAAAUAAUCUCCUGACUGAGCUUUCCUUAUUUGCUUUUGCUUCUACACUUUCCUUAUUUGAAAACUUUCCUUUUUAGAAAACUUUCCUUAUUUGAAAACUUUCCUUUUUUGGCACUUUCUAUAUUUGACACUUUUUGGCAGUUUUAAGAGCAUUUUUCUCUAGAUUGUCUAUUUACACCUAAUAUCUGUAAAACAUGAUUAAAACCACAAAAUUAGGUAGAAAGGAUGUAAAUAAACAUAAAAAAUAUCAUGAUAAAGUGGGCUAAAUUAUGCUCCAUCAGGUAAAGAACAGGAACUUGCAUUUAACACAUUAAAAGAAAAACUUACUACUGCUCCUGUUUUAAGGUUACCUGAUUUUUCUGAAACCUUUGAAAUCGAAUGUGAUGCUUCUGGGAUUGGUAUUGGUGCUGUUCUUAUGCAGGAAGGUCAACCCAUAGUAUAUUUCAGUGAGAAACUAGGUGGCGUACAUUUGAAAUAUUCCACCUAUGACAAAGAGUUAUAUGCACUGAUUAGGGCUCUUGAAGUUUGGAAAUACUACUUGCUACCUAAUGAGUUUGUGAUUCAUACCGACCAUUAGUCUCUCAAACACUUGAAGGGACAAGGUAAGUUGAACAAGCGGCAUGGUAAGUGGGUUGAGUAUCUCAAAAUCCUUCCUUAUGUGAUUAAAUACAAGCAAGGUAAAGAGAAUGUGGUAGCUUAUGCAUUAUCUAGACGUUAUGCAUUGACUUCUAUGCUUAGUUCUAAUUUGUUAGGGUUUGAGCAUUUGAAAGACAUGUAUGAGAAUGAUACUGAUUUUUAUGAUGUAUUUAUGGCAUGUGAAUAUGGGGCGUUUAACAAGUUUUAUUUGCAUGAUGGGUUUCUUUUUAGGAGGAAACAAAUAUGCAUACCCAAUUGUUCAGUGCGUGAAUUGCUUGUUAGAGAAUCGCAUUCAGGAGGGUUAAUGGGACAUUUUGGUGUGCAAAAGACUUUAGACAUGUUGAAUGAACACUUUUAUUGGCUUGACAUGCGAAUAUACAUACUCAAUGCUUUGCAUGUAAACAGGCUAAAUCUAAGUCCUUGCCACAUGGGUUGUAUACUCCUUUGCCUGUUCCUACUAAACCUUGGACUGAUAUCUCUAUGGAUUUUGUGAUAGGUUUACCUAGGACAAAACGAGGUAGAGAUUCAGUGUUUGUUGUUGUAGAUCACUUUAGUAAGAUGGCACAUUUUAUUCCAUGCCAUAAAACUGAUGAUGCAACAAACAUAGCAGAUUUGUUUUUCAGGGAAGUAGUCCGUUUGCAUGGUAUACCUAGGACUACUGUUUCUGAUAGAGAUUCUAAGUUCCUUAGUCAUUUCUGGCAUGUUUUGUGGGGGAAAUUGGGUACUAAGCUUUUAUUUUCUACUACUUGUUAUCCACAGACAAAUGGCCAAACUGAAGUUGUUAAUAGGACUUUAGGAACUAUGCUUCGUGCUAUUGUGGGAAGGAACUUAAAAACUUGGAAAGAAUGUUUACCAUAUGUUGAAUUUGCUUAUAAUCGCGCUGUCCAUUCUUCUACUGGUUAUUCACCUUUGAGAUUGUGUAUGGUUUUAAUCCAUUAACUGUAUUAGAUUUAAUGCCUUUACCUUUGAAUGAGUUGUCUAAUUUAGAUGGAAAAGCGAAGGCUGAAAUGGUUAAAUCAAUACACAUGAAAGUACGUGAGCAUAUUGAGAAGCGUAACAAAAUGUAUGAGAAACAGGCCAAUAAGGGUCACAAGAAAGUUGUAUUUAGACCAGGUGAUUGGGUUUGGAUCCAUAUGCAAAAGGAGAGGUUUUCUAAUAUAAGGAAAUCAAAACUGGAUGCACGCGGGGAUGGACCAUAUCAAGUGCUAAAACGGAUUAAUGACAACGUAUAUAUAAUUGAUCUGCCAGGUGAGUUUGGUGUAAGUGCUACCUUUAAUGUUUCUGAUUUGUCUCCUUUUGAUUUUGGUACAGAUUUGAGGACGAAUCCUUUUCAAGAGGGUGGGGAUGAUGUAAGCACAACCAACAACACAAAAAAUGAUGAGCUAGCAUUGCCUCAAGGACCAAUUACAAGGUUGAGAUCCAAGAAGUUGAAGGAAGCACUUCAAGGAUUCAUGAAGGAAUAUGUUGAAGCUUUGCAAGUUCAUUUUCAAGUUGAAGAACAAUCUUGUAAUACCUGGCUAGACUCCGGUAUCGGAAUUCCUACCGUCCGAUGGAAUCUCGGGUGUCGGAGACCUCUGGAAGGGUAAAAUCAUGUUUUCAUAAAAUGUUUUAAUGUGUUUUAUGUUUUUAAUUAAGAAAGAAAAUGAAUUUUUGCAUGAGUAUAGCUUUGAAGGAAAACCUAGGUUCGGUCGCCGAACAUGCAUGUGCUUCGGGAGUGCCUUAGGCCCCUGAAGGCAUAAGUGAGGAAAGUCCAGGUUCGGCCGCCGAACAUAGCAUGCAUGCGGAGGCACGUUCGGCUCCCGAAUGUGGCCUGGCCAGCCACCUAUAAAGGGGUCCCUUAGCCGAAAACGGGUGAGCUUUUCUCCCCAUUUUCGGCCAAGGUGAGCUCUCCGCCGUCCCUCACCGAUCUUGAGUUUCUUCCUUCCAUUCUUCAUGAUUUUUAUGAGUUUGCAACUUUGUUUUGAAGAUUUUCGAGUAUAAAGCAAGUUUUGGAGCUUAAAGGUUCAAGGAACUCUCUCUCUCCCAUUUUCCGAGCUAGGGUCGUUCUCCUCUCGAUCUUCAAGAGGUAAGGGCCGAUCUUGAGCUUAUGGCAUGUUUUAAGUAAGUUUUAAGUAGAUCUAUGGGGUAGAAUGCAUGUUUAGCUUAUGGUUAGGUUUAUGAGUUUAUGUUGUGUUUUAUGGACAAUGUAUGAUGUUUGUGGUUGCUUGAUGUGUUGUAGUUGGGGUUUAAGAUAGUUUGAAGCCCCUAGGAGCUUAUGUAUGUGUUUAUGCAUGUUUUGGUUGAGUUAUAUGCAUGAUUGAAGGUUUUGGGAGGCAAAUGUGCAUGAGGAACCGAGUUUCUGCCCUUUUGGCAGAAACCAGGUUCGGCAGCCGAAGAACUUUCGGCCGCUGAACCUGCCUAGGAGGCAAGCCUUUCGGCUGCCGAAGCCUACCCCCGAAAGAGGACUUUCGUCUCUGGAGGGCAGUUUCGGCCGCCGAAAGUGCCGCCGAACAUGCAUGAGUUUCGUUUCUGUCUGGGAGUUUCGGCCGCCGAAGGUGCUGCCGAACCUGCCUGACUUUCGGCUCUGGAGGGACUUUCGGCCUCCGAACCUACCGCCGAAAGUGCCCUAUUCAGCCUUCCUUUGCAUGUUUUGCAUGAUUGUUUUGAGGUGUUCUAGGGGGGUUUUUGGGGGUUGUUUUUAGAGUUAUGUUCUAGUUGUUUGGUCCCUCAUUUGUAUCCACCUGUGUAGGUUCGGACCUGAGGAACCGAGGACCCCAGCAGUGAGUCAGCUGCUUCAGUCAUUGUCAGAGCUAGUUGAGGUGAGUAGAAUAAACACUUAUGUUUUAAAGUAAAUAAAUAUAGAUUUGAGCAUGUUCAUGCAUCACGAAUGCUAUGUGAUAUUCUAGGUUGUUUGCAUUAGAAUUCACGAAUAUGUUGCAUUGCAUAAUUUGAUGAUGAUGUGGAUGGUUAUUGGAUGAUCCUUAGUCCUUGAUAUGAUGCGAUGUGAUAUGAUACGGUAUGGUACGGAAGUCCAGAUUGUACCCAUUCUACGUCCCUGGCACUAUGUAAGAGAAAGUCCAGGUUGUACCCAUUCUACGUCCCUGGCACAUUGGAAUGUUAUGUUAUGUUAUGUUAAGAGAAAGACCGGUUGACCCAUUCUACGUCCCGGCACCUUGGAAUGUAGAGGACUCUUGGUGACAAUACCAUCCGUGAUGUGAUUUGUCUGUGAUGUGUUGCAUUCCAUUAUAGCAUAUGAUUUAAAUGUCUUAUUAUUCUGCUCACUGGGCUCUAGUAACUCACCCCUUUUUCCUAAUCCCCCAGGGUUGCAGGUACAGGCUAGACAGAGAAGUCAAGGUGAAUGAAGUCUUGAGUUGUAAUAGAUAGAAUGUGGACAUGACAAAUUGUAAAAUGAUGUAAAGUUAUGAAUAGUUAUGUUAUGUAAAAUAUGAUAUUGAGGAUUAGAGGUUGUGCUUGACCCUAUGUGUAUGGUAUCCCUUUUAAUACAUGAUCACUGUUUUUAUUUGAUGAGACGAGUAAUCAGGCUUAAUGUAUGUUAUUGUUACCCCAUUGGAGCAUUGUUGAGGGCUCCAGUGUGAGGUUUAUGGUUAUGUUAAUGUGCAUGCACAAGUUAAGCUUGAUUUAUGAAAGAAAAAGUUUAAAUGUUUAUGUAUAUGUAUGAUCAUGUAUGGGAUUACACAGGUUUGCAGGUUGUAUGUCAGGCUUGCUACGGGUCUCGGCGGCCUUAAGCCGAUCUGGAUCCUAGCGCCGGUAACAGUCCGAUUUUCGGGUCGUUACAAAUCCGGCCAUUCCGAGUCAAUUAGGCCGAAUGUGUCCUUAUUGACAAUUCAAAUUUUGUAAUUAUAGUGGAUAGUUGUUUAGUAGUGGGUAGUUAUUUAGCAGUUGUUAGUUAACCAGUAGUUGGUAGUUAUCUAGUAGUGAAAAGUGGCAUUGAUCAUGAAUCCAUACAGAGUAGUGGGUAGUGGCAUAGAUCAUGGGUCCAUGCAUAGCAAUGGGAAGUGGCAAAGAUCAUGGGUUUUUAUUUAGGUUAUAUAAAGCAUCUCUUUUUCCAUAUUGUAGACAGAUUAUCAAUUAUUUAAUACAAUUGCUUUAUGCGAUUCUUCUUUCAGACCUUAAGAGAGAUCUUGGUUCUUGACAUUGCAUCACGAAUAAGGUUUGAUACUAACUUGUAUGUUUCUGACUCGCGUUUGUCGAAGCCGGUAAAAAAUAACCUUUCAGGUUAUCAACAAUAUUACUACUGCAGAUAGUGGUAAAGGAUCGAAUCCAUAGAGAAUUGAUAACUUACCUAUUACUUAACAAGACCAAGAGAAUUAACUGAAAGCGCAACUGAAAGCAAGUAACUAAAAGCGGAAUAAAAAUAAAGUGCAAUAAAAGUAAAAUGGGGGAUUUUGAGAUUAGUUUGAUUAGCAACUACUGAAAGCAAUAAAAGAAGCAAAUAGUAAAAAGAAAUAAAGAGAUAUCAAAUAUGAGAAAGGUCUAGUUGAAGAGUUGGAUCCACUUUAGUUGUUUGGACUGAUCAUUGAAACUUAUGUUCUUUUGAUUGAUUCAAUAGAUUAGUUAUGGAGAUGAAAAACGCUUCUCACCACCAUGUCUCUCCUUAUAAUUAAACCAAUUAGGGAACGUCCUCUAAUUAAUUACUAAUUAACAAAUUGCCAAGGAAUGUCCUUGGGCCUUAGGCAUCAAACAAUUGUUAAUUGCAUGAAGAAAGAGAGAGAUCCAAUCCUAACUACUCAAACGCAUGAGAUGUUGCUAGAUCAUACAAUUCCUUAGUUGUUAUACCAAGUGUUCUUAUGUUUGAACAAUUCAAGCAAUUAUGGACUUAAAAUUAUCCAAACUAACAAUUAAUUACCUUGCAAUCAAGAAUCAAGAGGCCGAUUUGAUCAAAACAAUAAACUAAUAAUAGAAUUCAAGCAUGAACUGUAUGAAUAUUGAAUAACCAAAAGACAAACAAUAUGUGUUCAGAUUGCACAAUCCAUAAAACAACCUUAGUUUCAACCAAUCUUCAACUAGAAUAAAAGGUUUCAGCCACUCAUGACUGAAACAAAAAUCAAAAACAAGAAAAGAAAAAAGGGAAGAGGAACCGAAUUGAGAGGAGAAGCCUUGGUGCGCCUUCCUUGCUUUGGCUGAAUGGUCAAGUUGUGCUCCCCCGUGGCUAGCCUUUUUGAAGUCUUUAAAUAUGUUUUAAGAUGCUGACCUAGGGUUUCUUGGCUGUCCAUGAGUUUUUAAGAGGCUGCCCAAAUUGCCCAUGGUCUUCAAGUGUUGCCGCCCAUGCAUAAGUGAAGGGGAGGCGUGUGGCAUGUGUGGCUUGUGCAAGAGUUGUGGUCCUUACCCUUACUUGCUGCCCAAGUUGAGCUUAGGUGGCUGCCCAAACUGCCCAAGAAGCCUCUUCACACCCUCCUUGCCGCCCAUGCACAAAUAAGGGAGAUGGAGCCUCCUUUUGCAAUUUGAAUUUUGAAUGUGCAUAGCAUGAGGUGGCAAAUAUUUGAUCUUUGGAUUUAACUUCCUUAAUAAGCUGGAUUUUGAAAUUCAAAAUUUGAAUAUGAAUCUUGAAGAUUUGAAAUUUAAAAUACUUUCCUUAUUUGGCUCUUCAUUUAUGGCAACUUGAGAUUUGGCUUCUUGGAGAUUUGAAAUUUGAAUUUCAAAUUGCUUUGGCUGAAUGUUCUUUCCUUAUUUGCCACUUUCCUUAUUUAGAACUUUCCUUAUUUAGCUUCACUUGAUUUCAACUUGGCAGGCUUGCUCUCCUUUGCUCCAUUUAAGGCAGUUUUAAGGGUAUUUUCUCCAAAAUGUCAUUUUUCACCAUUUUCUGCAAAAUAAUAUCAAAAGCACUAAAUUAAGUAGAAAUCAUGUAAAUAAUCAUCAAUAAUAUCAAGAUAAAAUGGACUAAAAUAUGCUCUAUCAAUUUCUUAUUCUUGUUACUUUUAAAAUCAAUCAGUUAUAAGUGUUCUUAAUUGCAUGUUAAUUAAGGGUGCUUUAGAUUGGGAAAUUGUUUUCUGAACUAAGUUCUUUUUACUAGGGUAUGUGUCGUUUCAGUCUCUAAUAGGCUAGGGUUCCGCAUCAAGUGAGAUCGCCUGCACCUCUUCAGCUCAUAUCGCAGGUGAAUUCCACCAUACAUCCAACGCAGACAGGCCAUGCACAAGAGGAACACGCUGAAACCAGUUCAGCCGGGAAUCCAACAGAGACAGACACUUGUCUGACCAAACUGAUGACCCAUGGUAUGCAGACAUUGUGAACUACCUAGCCACAGGUAACUUAUCCUUUAAUAUGCCCAGGCACACAAAAGACAAGAUAAAGAAGAGUGCAAAGUAUUAUGUUUGGGAUGAACCAUAAGGAGAUGCAUUCCAGAUCAAGAGAUAGCCUCAGUACUCACAUUUUGUCAUUCAUACAGUUGCGGUGGACACUUUGGGCCAAGAAAGAUAGCCCAUAAAAUGCUUGAAAGUGGAUUGUUUUGGCCUACUCUUUUUCGAGAUUCCUAUUUGUUUUGCAGGUCAUGUGCACGAUGCCAGUAGACUGGGAAUCUAGGGAACAGAAGCCAAAUGCCGCAGAAUCCCAUCAUGGUUUGUGAGAUAUUUGAUGUAUGGGGCAUAGACUUCAUGGAGCCAUUUCCGCCAUCCUUUGGAUACACCUAUAUCAUCCUUGCAGUGGAUUAUAUGUCCAAAUGGGUAGAAGCUAGAGCAACCAAAACCGAUGAUGCAAAGGCAGUAGUGGAUUUCGUGAAGACCAACAUCUUUGCCAGGCAUGAAGUGCCCAAGGCAAUCAUCAGUGAUAGAGGGUCUCACUUUUGUAACAAGGUAGUGGAGAACCUUCUCAAAAAGCACAAUGUUAUACACAGAACAUCCACAGCCUACCACCCUCAGAGAAAUGGGCAAGCUGAAGUGUCUAACAAAGAAAUCAAAGCCAUUCUAGAAAAGACAGUAUGCUCCAGCGGAAAAGAUUGGAGUGUACGAUUGGAAGAUGCCUUAUGGGCAUACAGGACAGCCUACAAGACACCCAUAGGGAUGUCUCCCUAUAGAUUGGUCUUUGAAAAAGCCUGUCAUCUUCCAGUUGAGCUUGAACACAAGGCCUACUGGGCUGUCAAGAAUUGCAACAUGGACCUCAAGGAAGCUGGACACCAUCGAAAAUUGCAACUCUAAGAGCUAGAAGAAAAAAGACGAGAUGCAUAUGAGACUUCUUGGAAGUACAAAGCCAAGACCAAAGCCUCCAAUGAAAACCGUAUUUCAAGAAAACAUUUUGAGGUUGGUGAUUGUAAUACCCGGCUAGACCCCGGCAUCGGAAUUCCUACCUUCCGGCUGAAUCUCUGUUGAAAUCCGGGAUUUCUCGGAUGUCGGAGCCUUUUAGAAGGGUAAAAUAAAGGUUUUCUAAAAUGUUUUAUAUGUUUUUAUGGUUUUAAUGAAGAAAGAAAAUUGAGUUUUGAAAGAAAUUUUUUAGAGGAGAAACCCAUGUUCGACCUUCGAAUAUGGUGGAGUUGCGGAGGCACUUUUGGCCUCCGAAGGUGGUCUGGCCAACCACCUAUAAAAGGCCCCUUGUCCGAAAAUGGGCGAGUUUUCUCUCUCCAUUUUCGGGCAAGGUAAGUCUCCACCACCCCCUUGUUGAUCUUGUGUUUUCUCCUCAAAUCCUUCAAGAUUUUUAUGAGUUUUUACCAUGUUUUGAAGAUUUUAAGCUAAGAUCAAAGUUUUGAAGCUUAGAGACCCCCGGAGCUCGUUCCUCCAUAUCUCCAAGUUUGGGAUCGCAUCUCCUCUCGAUCUUCAAGAGGUAAGUGUAGAUCCUCAUCUUCUCUUAUGUUUUUAAGUAAGUUUUAUGAAGGGUUAAGGGAUUAUGAUGCAUGUUUAGGCUAGUUGUAAAAUGUUAGGGUUUAUGUUAGUUUAAUGAUAAAUGUGAUGCUUAAUGUGAUGUUUGUUGGGAGAUAGGCUAGUUUUAUGCCUCUAUAUGCUUGAAUAAGUGUUUAUGCAUGUUUUAGAAUAGUUGAAUGCAUGUUGGGAUGUUGGGAUGGCUUAAUGUGGGAUGGCAGAAUCGGGUUCUGCCACCCAAGAGGAUCCAGGUUCGGCCGCCAAACCUACCAGGGGAGGCAGUUUUGGCCGCCUAAACUCGCCCCCGAAAGUUUAGACUUUCGGCUCUAGAGGGGAGUUUCGGCCGCCGAACCUGCCCCCGAAAGUGGGUGACUUUCGGCUCUGGAAGGAUCUUCGGCCGCUGAACCCUGCCCCCGAAAGUGCUUGACUUUCGGCUCUGUGGGGACCUUCGGCCGUCGAACUUGCCACCGAAAGUCCCCUGCCCAGCCUUCCUUUGCCUAUUUUUCCAUGCAUGUUUAUGAUGUUUUAGGGGGUUUUUGGGGAGAUGUUUAGAGUCAUGUUAGAGUAUGUUUGGUCCCUCAUUUGAGUCCACCUGUGUAGGAUCGAACUUGAGGAAUUAAGGAGACCAGCAGUGAGAUAGUUGCUUCAUAGUUAGUUCAGAGUCAGCCAGAGGUGAGUAGAACUAAACUAAUCUUUUAUUGCUAGAAAUCAAAUGUUUUAAGCAUGUUCAUACAUCAUGUAUAUGUAAUAGGUUGGUUGCAUUAGACCCCACGAAUAUGACGCAUUGCAUUAUUUAUUGUGGAUGUGGAUGGACAACAGGAUGACUCAUUAGCCCUCUAGAUAUUAUGUUAUGUAAUAGAAGUCCUGAGGAGCUUCACCGAGGGCCGGGCACAGAGCUUAUGUUAUGUAAUAGAAGUCUUGAGGAGCUCCACCGAGGGCCGGGCAUAGAGUAGAGGGAUUUUUGGGUCAGUCCAUCCGUGAUGUGAAUUAUUUGUGAUGUGAUGCAUUCCAUGAAAGCAUAUGUUUAUUAAUUUAUUUUUACUGUUCUGCUCACUGGGCUUUUGUAGCUCACCCCUUUCCCCUAACCCCCAGGUUUGCAAGUUUAGGAUAGACCGGGAAGUUGUCAAGGUUGAAGGUUGUGCUAAGUGUAAUAGAUUAGUAGUGGACAUGUAAUGCAAAAUGGUAUAAUGUAAUGUGAUGUAGAGAUAUGUUUCAUGGUUUAGUAUUGUGCUUGGCCCUAAUGUAUGGUUAAUCCCUUUUGGUACAUGAUCUUAAUGAAAUGUUUUAAUGAUGUUAUGUGUUGAACCAGGCUUGACAUAUGAAAUGUUGACCCAACUGGAGCAUUUGAUGAGGGCUCCAGUAAAGGGUUUUAUGUAUAUAGUUUUAGUGCAUGCACAGGUCAAGCUUGGUAUAUGAAAAGUUUAAAGUUUUUAUGAAAAUGUAUGAUCAUGUAUGGGAUUUUAUCAGAUAUACAGGAUGUAUGUUAGGCUUGUUAUGGGUUCUGACGACCUUAAGUCGAUCUGAAUCCUAGCGCCAGUAGCGGUCCGGUUUUCGGGUCGUUAUAGAGUGGUAUCAGAGCCCUAGGUUCAUAUGGUCGGACCUAGAGUGUGUUGGGCUCAUAGAUGUCAUUGAAGGGCAAGCACAAUAGGAAAAAUCAUGUUCACUAGGAUAGGAUAUAGAGUCCUGUCUUGAGGAUGAUGUGAAAUGCCAUGAUAAUAUGCAUGUGCAUUAAUGAUAUGUGAUGUAUGUGAUGCGGGUUCGUGUGUUUCCACAUGAACCAUAUAAUGCUAAUGUUUAUGUGUACAUAUUGUUUUUCAGAAAACAGAAUGAGAGGCACUCGUUGAUCUGCACGAUUGACUGGAGUCCCACCUGAGAAUGAGGGCAUGGAUGCCCUUCCCCUUGCUUUGCCAAGGGCAAUGUCUAGUAGGUCCAGCAGAGAAGGGACAUCAAGGGACCCUAGAAGGUCUUUUGAUGUAAACAGGAGGAGGACUGAUCCAGGAAGGAUGUCAGCAGAUGUGAGGGAAUCUGUGGAUGAUGAGCAGAGAAGAGAUGGUAGUCUGGGCAUGAGUAUGUCAGAAGAGGAUAUGGAGAGUCCCAAAGAGGCUCUCAGGCCUCGGGUUUUGUUCAACCACCCCAGUACCAACCCUUUCCACAGGGCCCAGGGUAUCUGAUGGAGGGUACAUUGGAUUACUCUAGUUAUAAUCCAUAUCCUACCUUCAUGCCCUAUCCUCCCUUUUACCCACCUUAUCCACAGUACCCCAUGUUUCCACCCUCACCCUUCUAUCCAAAUCCAGCAAACCCUAACAAGGGAAUGCUGCACCUCCUCCACCACCAGCAAAACCUAUGGUCCCUGAUAUCCAAACACCCAAACCUAGCUCAUCUGUGGGGAGCAAGGUAAAGAUGACAGAUUACCUGAAGCUAGAUGCUCCCAAGUUCAAGACAGGUGAUGAUCCGUUUGAGUACCUCAAGACAGUAAAGAUGAUAACGGAUGAGCUAGGAGCCAGUGACAGUAGAGCCAUUCAGAUGGCAGGGUUCACAUUGAAAUGUAAGAAAGCAUGGGAGUGGUUUAAAAAUUAUGUGGACCCAAGGUUGGAUAGCCUAUCCUGGGAAGAGUUUGCCAAUGAGUUUGCUGAUAGGCUUUUUCGGAUAGUUCAAGAGAGCUGAAGGUUGUAGAGUUCCAGCAGCUGAGACAGACAGAGGAUAUGAGUGUCAAUGAGUACACAGAUAAAUUCAUGGAGUUGCUGCAGUAUGUAGGUCAGGCAUAUGACACAGACCAGAAGAAAGCUAGGAGGUAUACCAUGAGGCUCCACUAUAGGUAUUCCUCCCUGAUCCUAGCAACAGAGAGAGAGAGCUUCCACACCAUAGUGGAUGCCGCGCGAAAAAUGGAGGCUAGUGCCAUUAUACAGGGGACAGUGAAACAGCAAGUGGCACAGCCCUCGGGUUCCAAGACCCCAGGCUCAGGGAAGUUCAACCUCUCUUCUUUGAGUACAGCAGCUUCGGGAAGCAAAAAGUGGGACAGAGGCUCUAAAAAGCCAAAGAAGAAUAAGUUCUGGAACCGUUUGAAGUCAGGUUUGGGAUUAGGUGGUGGUUCGAGCUCAGUUUCAGAUGGUUCAGAAUGCUUGAGGUGUGGUAAGCCACACAAAGGAGUCUGUCGGUUAGGGACAUCAACAUGUUACAGAUGUGGGCAGGAGGGACACAUAGCUCGGGAGUGUCCUAGAGUAGCCUCUAUGGCACCGUCCCAGCAGACAGCUUCAGGUAGUGUGGCUCAGCCAGUAGCUCCAGCCAUGACGCAGGGCAGUGGUAGAGGCAGAGGGAGAGGGACAGCCUCUUCUUCAGCAGAUUCCCGGGGUGAAGGUCCAUCAGCUCCAGCUCGGAUCUUCACUAUGACACAGCAGGAGGCAAACACGUCAAACACCGUGGUGUCAGGUAAUCUCAUCAUUGGAUGUUCUGAUGUAUAUGCUUUAAUGGACCCUGGUGCAUCUCAUUCUUUUGUUGCUCCGAGAGCCAUAAAGAGGUUGGGUUUGAUAGUCUCUGGGUUAGAGUGUCCCCUCUGGGUCAGUGGACCUAAGUGUGAUCCAUCAGUGGCAGAGUCAGUCUGCCGAUAUAGCCUAGUGUUUGUUGAGGGUAGAUGCCUUCCAGCCGAACUUGUGGUUCUAGAUUUGACUGAUUUUGAUGUCAUUCUAGGGAUGGAUUGGCUAUCUGCUCAUGGUGCUACCUUGGACUGCAGAGACAAGGUAGUUAGGUUCAGAGUACAGGAUGGGUCAGAGAUUGUCUUCACGGGAGACAGGAGGGUAAUGCCUAGAGGUCUGAUAUCAGCCCUAAAAGCUCGUAGGUUGCUCAUGAGAGGUUGUCAGGGGUUUCUAGCUCAUGUGAGAGAGCUUGAUGGUCAGGUCAGGGAGCCCGCCUCAGUGCCCGUAGUCAGGGAGUUUCCAGAUGUCUUCCCAGACGAGCUUCCAGGACUACCACCUGCUAGGGAGAUAGAGUUCGAAAUAGAAUUGAUGCUCGAAACCAGACCGAUCUCUAUCCCUCCCUACAGGAUGGCACCUGCAGAGUUGAAAGAGUUGAAAGAUCAGCUGCAAGAGUUGGUAGAUAAGGGUUUCAUUCGACCGAGUACCUCACCUUGAGGUGCUCCAGUGCUGUUUGUAAAGAAGAAGGAUGGAUGCCUAAGACUUUAUAUUGACUACAGACAGUUGAACAAAGUCACUACCAAGAACAAGUAUCCUCUACGAUCUAUUUGACCAGCUAGCAGGAGCAGGUUAUUUUUCCAAGAUAGAUCUGAGAUCUGGGUACCACCAGCUAAGAAUCAGAGAGGAAGAUGUGCCGAAGACGGCGUUCAAGACCAGAUAUAGGCACUAUGAGUUCCUAGUAAUGCCAUUUGGGCUAACCAAUGCCCCUGCAGGAUUCAUGGAUCUCAUGAACAGAGUUUUUAACCAAUAUCUGGAUCACUUUGUUAUUGUCUUCAUUGAUGAUAUCUUAGUGUAUUUCAGAAACGCAGAGGAGCAUGCCCAUCAUCUGAGGGUAGUUCUGCAGACCCUGAGGGAGCACGACUUGUAUGCCAAGUUCUCCAAGUGUGAAUUCUGGUUAAAGAGCAUCUCAUUCUUAGGGAAUGUGGUGUCAGAAAAAGGAAUUGAAGUGGACCCCAGGAAAGUAAAAGCUGUAGCUAACUGGCCCAGACCCACUACAGUUACAGAGAUUAAGAGCUUUUUAGGUCUGGCAGGUUACUACAGGAUGUUCGUUCAGGACUUCUCCAAAAUUGCCGUCCCUAUGACCAGAUUAACCAAGAAGAAUAAGAGGUUUGUGUGGUCUGAUCAGUGUGAGGAAAGCUUUGAAGAGCUAAAGAAAAGGUUAACGUCAGAACCGGUGUUAGCUCUGCCUACCAGUAAUGAAGACUUCACAGUGUUUUGCAAUGCAUCCCGUGUGGGACUAGGUUGCGUGUUGAUGCAGAAUGAGAGGGUAAUUGCUUGUGCUUCUAGGCAGUUGAAGAAGCAUGAGUUGAAUUAUCCUACACAUGACCUAGAAAUGGCAGCUGUGAUCUUUGCACUCAAGAUGUGGAGGCAUUACCUUUAUGGGGUUAAAUGUGAGAUCUUUACAGAUCAUAAGAGUUUGCAGUACAUCUUGAGUCAAAGAGAAUUGAACCUCAGGCAGAGAAGAUGGGUAGAACUGCUUAGUGACUAUGAUUGCAAAAUUCAGUACCAUCCGGGUAAGGCAAAUGUUGUGGCAGAUGCCCUAAGCUGGAAAUCACUUGGCAGUCUAUCCCAUGUUACAGCAGAGAGAAGACCGGUGGUGAGGGAAUUCUGUAAGCUUAUUGAUGAAGGGCUGCAGUUGGAGUUGUCUGGUACAGGUGCUUUGAUAGCUCAGAUGAGAGUGACACCCGUGUUUCUAGAGCAGGUGGCUCAAAAACAGCACGAGGACCCCGAGUUGGUGAAGAUAGCCAGAGCAGUUCAAUCAGGCAAGAAUGAGGAUUUUCGUUUUGACCACAAAGGGAUUCUCCGCUAUGGGAACAGGUUAUGUGUACCAGAUGACGUGAGUUUGAAGGGGGACACUAUGAGAGAAGCUCAUAAUGCCAGGUACAGUGUUCACCCUGGAGCCACCAAAAUGUACCAGGAUCUGAAAAGAGUCUAUUGGUGGCCAGCUAUGAAAAGAGAAGUGGCACAGUUCGUGUCCGCCUGCGAAGUAUGUCAGUGGGUGAAGCUGGAACAUCAGAAGCCGGUUGGAAUGAUUAACCCACUGCCGAUUCCAGAGUGGAAAUGGGAGAAUAUAGCUAUGGAUUUCGUGGUGGGGUUACUGGCAACGUCCAACAGACUAGAUUCCAUAUGGGUGAUUGUGGACAGACUGACCAAAUCUGCUCACUUCAUCCCUGUCAGGAGUGGCUACUUUGUGGACAAAUUAGCGCAGGUGUAUGUGGACGAGGUUAUCAGGUUGCAUGGGGCUCCUAUUUCAAUAGUGUCAGAUAGGGGACCCCAGUUCACCUCCAGGUUUUGGUGGAGUCUGUAGAAUGCUAUGGGCACCAGGCUAGACUUUAGCACUGCUUUCCAUCCUCAAAUUGAUGGACAGUCAGAGAGGACCAUCCAGACUAUAGAAGAUAUGCUUAGAAUGUGUGUGCUAGAUUUUGGUGGUUCUUGGAGGCAGCAUCUACCUUUGGUGGAGUUUGCCUACAAUAACAGCUAUCAUUCUAGCAUAGGGAUGGCUCAUUAUGAAGCUCUUUAUGGGAGGAAGUGCAGGUCAUUUGUUUGCUGGGAAGAAAUGGGAGAAAGGGCCUUAGCAGGGCCUGACCUAGUAGAGAUCACCAGCAGGGUAGUGCCUAUUAUCAGAGAAAGAAUUAAAACUGCUGUGAGUCGGCAGAAGAGUUAUGCAGAUGUCCGCAGGAAGCAUGUAGAGUUCCAGGAUGGAGAUAUGGUGUUGCUCAAAGUGUCUCCUAUGAAAGGGGUGAUUCGUUUUGGGAAGAAAGGUAAACUAGCUCCACGGUACAUCGGACCCUUUGAAAUCUUGUAAAAGAUUGGGAAUGUAUCGUACAAGUUCGUAUCAGAUCCGGUCUUCCAUGUUUCUAUGAUAUGAAAGUUUGUGUCAGAUCCUGGCAAGGUUCUUAAUGAGCCUAAUGUGGAGAUCCUAGAAGAUCUCACCUAUGUUGAGCAGCCGGUGCAGAUCCUAGACACGCAGAUCAGAAAGCUGAGGAACAAGGAAAUCUCGAUGGUGAAAGUCCUUUGGAAUCACCACAACAUAGAAGAAUGUACCUAGGAGACACGAGAGUCUAUGCUCCAGCAAUACCCCUAUCUCUUUUAAGGUUAGUGUUUUGGUGGUUAUGUGCUUCCUUAUUGAUAUGUGUGUUAUGACAUGCUUUGCUUGUGUGUUGAACAUUCGGGGACGAAUGUUCUUAAGGGGGGAAGAAUGUAAUACCCAGCUAAACCCCAGCAUCGGAAUUCCUACCUUCCGGCGGAAUCUCCGUUGGAAUCCAGGAUUUCUCGGAUGUCGGAGCCUUCUAGAAGGGUAAAAUAAAGGUUUUCUAAAAUGUUUUAUAGGUUUUUAUGGUUUUAAUGAAGAAAGAAAAUUGAGUUUUGAAAGAAAAUGUUUUGGAGGAGAAACCCAGGUUCGGCCGCCGAACAUGGUGGAGUUGCGGAGGCACUUUUGGCCUCUGAAAAUGGUCUGGCUAGCCACCUAUAAAAGGCCCCCUGUCCGAAAAUGGGCGAGUUUUCUCUCUCCAUUUCCGGGCAAGGUGAGUCUCCACCACCCCCUUGUUGAUCUUGUGUUUUCUCCUCAAAUCCUUCAAGAUUUUUAUGAGUUUUUACCAUGUUUUGAAGAUUUUAAGCUAAGAUCAAAGUUUUGAAGCUUGGAGACCCCCGGAGCUCAUUCCUCCAUAUCUCCAAGUUUGGGAUCGCAUCUCCUCUCGAUCUUCAAGAGAUAAGUGUAGAUCCUCAUCUUCUCUUAUGUUUUUAAGUAAGUUUUAUGAAGGGUUAAGGGGUUUUGAUGCAUGUUUAGGCUAGUUAUAAAAUGUUAGGGUUUAUGUUAUUUUAAUGAUAAAUGUGAUGCUUAAUGUGAUGUUUGUUGGGACAUAGACUAGUUUUAUGCCCCUAUAUGCUUCAAUAAGUGUUUAUGCAUAUUUUAGAAUAGUUGAAUGCAUGUUGGGAUGUUGGGAUGGCUGAAUGUGGGAUGGUAGAAUCGGGUUCUGCCACCCAGGAGGAUCCAAGUUCGGCCGCCAAACUUGCCAGGGGAGGCAGUUUUCGCCGCCUAAACUCGCCCCCGAAAGUUUGGACUUUCGGCUCUGGAGGGGAGUUUCGGCCGCCGAACCUGCCCCUGAAAGUGGGUGACUUUCGGCUCUGGAAGGACCUUCGGCCGCCGAACCCUGCCCCCGAAAGUGCUUGACUUUCGGCUCUGUGGGGACCUUCGGCCGCCGAACCUGCUGAUACGGAUCCAAUAGGGCAAAUUUCUAACAAUGGUGUGGAGCAAACUUAUGUCAUUCAAAUGGAUCUAAAAGGAGUUCAAAAUCAUAUUCAUAUGAUCCAUAUAUAUUUGGGGCAUGCUUCAACUCAUAUGGGACAGAUUUGGUGCAACACUUGCAAUCAUAGGCUUAGGGAGCCUAAUCAAACCUAUGGGCUAAAACUACACAAAGGGAAGCCUAAAGUGAAGAUCAAGUAAGGCUUUUGUGAAGAUUCAGCUUUGUUAUGAUGGGCUUACUAUAUUUUUAUUAUUUAACACUUGUUCUAUUUUAGCUUUGUUUGGGCUUGUAUUCUGGCCAUACUUUAUCUUUUAAGUUUUAGAGUGUUGGGCCAUGUUUUAGGCUUAUGUUUUAACACUUAUGUGUUAUUUUAGUGUGUGAUUGGGCUUGGACCUUAUGUGUUUAAGUCAGGUCCAAGAAGAGUGUCUUAGGGUUUUAUUUGUUUUUCUCCUUACUAUAUAAGGAUAAGAAACAAUUGUAAGAGGCAGCUUUUAAUCAAAAUUUCAGAAUUCUUCUCAUGCCUUUGGCGUGUAUUGCUUUGAGUGAGAGUGAGGAUUUACUUUCAUCAAUUGCACCAGGAAUCUUGGCUUACUUAUCAACUAUUCGUUGUGGUGUUUGUCAGAUUCUCAUCUAAAUCCUUCGUCAUUGGUGUUUCAGCUUCUCUAAGUGUGGGGUGCCAUAGGAGGUGGGUUUAUCAAAUCUUUGGAUUCCAUAUCUACUUGUGCGUGUGGGUUUGAGGCUUGUGCCAUAGGGUUCCACGUCAGUUGGUAUCAGAGCCAAAGUGAGGUAAAUUCUAAUUUAUCUUAGGAUCUAGGGUUUUUGAGUUUUCAUUUUCUUCCUUGUUGUUUUUGGUGAAAGUUUGUGUGUCCAUGGCUGCACCUUCUUGAUUAUUAAUCAUAAAAAAAAAAAAAUUCGAAAUCCAAAAAAAAAUCGCCUUUUUCUUUUCUGAUUCUAUUUGUGGGAUUUUGAUACUUUCCUUUUUGGGUGGAUUUAAGUAGAUCCAUAUUUAAUUUGCGUUGAAGUGAAUUAAAUGCAAUAUUUUUUGUUCAAGUUCGUUUUUAUUUGAUUUCUAAGUUUCUUUUUUGGUUUAAGCUUGCUUUUGCUUCCUUUACAUUGCUGGAGCAUUGUUUGCUUGUGUCUAUACUCUAGGUGAUAUUUUUCAAGUAGCACAAAAUCUAGUUCAUGUGUUACUUUCCAAAUUGUCAGUGUCUUCUUUCUAGUUUUUGCGCGCUUCCUUCUUUCUUUAGGAUUUCUUCUUUUUUCAUUAAACGCACCUUGUGGUUAGUUGGUUGACCUUAGUUUCUGAAGUGCAAUUGAAGAAUCAGCAAAAGAAUGGUAAGAGUGCAAACACUUGAGUACUUUCUUUUUUAACACAAUAUUUGCUAGUCCUUUUUGUUCUUUGUUGAUUUAAGGUAGGAUGAGUAAAGACAAGAAUGUGGUGGAUCGUACUGAUGGAAGUGAAUCGAAUAUGGGUAACGAUUAUAAGCUCUUUAAGAAGUCAGUCAGUGGUGAGUUACAAAGGCUCAAUAAGACUCUUGAGAGGUUAACUGGAACUAUGGAGAGUUUGAAUGUCUCAC